AGUGAACGCUGGCGGUAGGCCUAACACAUGCAAGUCGAACGGCAGCACAGUAAGAGCUUGCUCUUACGGGUGGCGAGUGGCGGACGGGUGAGGAAUACAUCGGAAUCUACUUUUUCGUGGGGGACAACGUAGGGCAAGUUACGCUAAUACCGCAUACGACCUACGGGUGAAAGCAGGGGAUCUUCGGACCUUGCGUGACUGAAUGAGCCGAUGUCGGAUUAGAUAGUUGGCGGGGUAAAGGCACAACAAGGCGACGAUCCGUAGCUGGUCUGAGAGGGUGAUCGGCCACACUGGAACUGAGACACGGUCCAGACUCCUACGGGAGGCAGCAGUGGGGAAUAUUGGACAAUGGGCGCAAGCCUGAUCCAGCCAUACCGCGUGAGUGAAGAAGGCCUUCGGGUUGUAAAGCCCUUUUGUUGGGAAAGAAAAACAGCAUGCUAAUACCCCGCUGUUCUGACGGUACCCAAAGAAUAAGCACCGGCUAACUUCGUG
rnacentral:rRNA from 1 species